rnacentral:rRNA from 1 species
UCAAGCUACAAAGGGCAUAAGGUGGAUGCCUUGGCAUCAGGAGCCGAAGAAGGACGUGGCAAGCUGCGAUAAGCCACGGGGAGCUGCAAGCGAGCGUCGAUCCGUGGAUUUCCGAAUGGGGGAACCCCCGUGACGAAGAGUCACGGAGCGCUAGGUGAAUACAUAGCCUAGUGCGGGGAACCCGGGGAACUGAAACAUCUAAGUACCCGGAGGAAGAGAAAUCAACCGAGAUUCCGCGAGUAGUGGCGAGCGAAAGCGGAAGAGGCCAAACCGCACGUAGCGAUACGUGCGGGGUUUAGGACCGGCGAAUAGGCACACUAAGCGAUAGCUGAACGGGAUGGGAAGCCCGGCCAGAGAUGGUGACAGCCCAGUAGGCGAAAUUGCGAGGUGGCCUGCCGUGAUCCAGAGUACCUGCGGACACGAGGAAUCUGCAGGGAAGAAGGGGGGACCACCCUCCAAGCCUAAAUACUACCUGAUGACCGAUAGUGGAGCAGUACCGUGAGGGAAAGGUGAAAAGAACCCCGGGAGGGGAGUGAAAUAGAACCUGAAACCGUGUGCCUACAACCGGUCAGAGCACUAUGUUUUAUACAGUGUGAUGACGUGCUUUUUGUAGAACGAUCCAGCGAGUUACGGUAUGCAGCAAGGUUAAGCACUUAAGGUGUGGAGCCGAAGGGAAACCGAGUCUGAAUAGGGCGGGAAGUUGCAUGCUGUAGACCCGAAACCGGGUGACCUAUCCAUGGACAGGGUGAAGCGGAAGUAAAAUUCCGUGGAGGCCCGAACCACGUUGGUGUUGAAAAACCAUGGGAUGAGCUGUGGAUAGCGGAGAAAUUCCAAUCGAACUCGGAGAUAGCUGGUUCUCCUCGAAAUAGCUUUAGGGCUAGCGUCGGACUAAUGAGUAAUGGAGGUAGAGCACUGAAUGGGCUAGGGGGCAUUGCGCUUACUGAACCCUAUCAAACUCCGAAUGCCAUAUACUUGUACUCCGGCAGUCAGACUACGAGUGAUAAGAUCCGUAGUCAAAAGGGAAACAGCCCAGAUCGUCAGCUAAGGUCCCAAAGUGUAAGUUAAGUGGAAAAGGAUGUGGGAUUUCUAAGACAACUAGGAUGUUGGCUUAGAAGCAGCCACUCAUUUAAAGAGUGCGUAAUAGCUCACUAGUCGAGAGAUCCUGCGCCGAAGAUGUCCGGGGCUCAAACUUACCACCGAAGCUACGGGUUGACGCUAACGCGUCAGCGGUAGAGGAGCAUCCUGUACGGGCUGAAGUCAUACCGAAAGGAGUGGUGGACUGUACAGGAGAGAGAAUGCUGGAAUAAGUAGCGAGAAAAGAGUGAGAAUCUCUUUGGUCGAAAACCUAAGGUUUCCUGGGGAAGGCUCGUCCGCCCAGGGUUAGUCGGGACCUAAGCUGAGGCCGAAAGGCGUAGGCGAUGGACAAUCGGUUGAUAUUCCGAUACCACUACAACGCGUUAAUACCGAUGGGGUGACGCAGGAGGAUAAGAUGUGCUCACUAAUGGAUGUGGGUCUAAGUACUUAGGCAGAGCAGAUAGGCAAAUCCGUUUGCUCAAUGCUGAGGUGCGAUGGGGAGCGAAAUUAAGUAGCGAAGUAUCUGAUUCCACGCUGCCAAGAAAAGCCUCUAGGGAGUGAAGUAGUGCCCGUACCGCAAACCGACACAGGUAGGUGAGGAGAGAAUCCUAAGACCAGCGGAAGAAUUGCAGUUAAGGAACUCGGCAAAUUGACCCCGUAACUUCGGGAGAAGGGGUGCCUACGAGAGUAGGCCGCAGAGAAUAGGCCCAAGCAACUGUUUAGCAAAAACACAGGUCUCUGCUAAAGCGAAAGCUGAUGUAUAGGGGCUGACGCCUGCCCGGUGCUGGAAGGUUAAGGGGAACGCUUAGCGCAAGCGAAGGCGUGAACUUAAGCCCCAGUAAACGGCGGCCGUAACUAUAACGGUCCUAAGGUAGCGAAAUUCCUUGUCAGGUAAGUUCUGACCCGCACGAAUGGCGUAAUGAUCUGGGCACUGUCUCAACAGCCCGCCCGGCGAAAUUGUAGUACCGGUGAAGAUGCCGGUUACCCGCGACUAGACGGAAAGACCCCAUGGAGCUUUAC